GGGUCCAUAGCUCAGUGGUAGAGCAUUUGACUGCAGAUCAAGAGAUCGCUGGUUCAACUCCGGCUGGGUCCU
rnacentral:tRNA from 1 species